AGUAUAUUGAGAUCUAUAGGUAUGCAGAAGUCCCUUUUGAGGAUUUAGCUGAUUAUUGAUUCUGAAAGCUAAUUUAUUUGAACAAAUCUAUGAAUUCAAGAUAACAGAAGUCACUUCUGUUUUAGUGAUUUUUGGUAUAUAGGUCUUGACAAGAAGGAGGAAGAAAAAUGGGAGUUGAUUUUCUAAUGUCAAAUAAAAUUUAUAAAUUAAGGCAGAUUUAUGUAGGCCAAUAUGAAUAAAUAUUUAAGUGGGCUCUAUGAAUUGGCAACAAAGUAGACAAAAUUUAUUAGGAUAAAAUUGACUUAGCAUUGGUUUGUGUUCAAUAUGUCAGCAUUUGAAAGGAGGAAAAGCAUUAAGUUAGUUCCUCACUUCUUUUAUUUUAAUGGCAUGAUAAUUACAGAGAACAGUUACCGAUAAAUAAGAAUUUGACACUCUUAUGAUGAAUUCAUGUGUUGGGACAGACUUUUUUCAUUUAUUCCUAAAAUCCAUUUUAAUCUCUAAUUUUAUUAACACAAAAUAUUUUUUUCAUUUGUUACUUGCCUUACCUGUUUCUCUUUGCCAAUAUAGAAAGAGUGCAACUUGCCUCAUUAUACCGGUUACUAGAGUAUUAAUGCUGCUGGGAAGGGAGAAGGAAAGGGAAAGAUGCACCAAUCCCUGGCCCUUUUUUUUUUUUUCUUUUUGAGACAGCGUCUCACUAUGCAGCCCAGGCUGGCCUAGAACUCAAGGGAUCCUUCUGCUUCAGCCUCCUGAACACUGGGAUUACAGGUUGCUGCUGCUUUUGCUAAGAGAACAUCCAUGACUCUGAUGGUGCUUUCAUUCAACAUAAAGUGCUUUAUUUCCUUUAUUGAUUGACUGAACAAAUUCAGGCCUGUGGAAACAUCAUGGUGGAAGGGCAUGUUGGAGGAAAGCUGCUUACUUUAUGGCAGUCAGGAAGCAGACAAAAAAGCAAAGAGCUGCAAACAAGAUACAGUCCCCAAGGCAUAACCUCAGUGAUUUUCAUUAAACUGGGCCCCACCUCCUGGCAGCCCAUGCAGCUGUGAACUCAUCAAUGGGUUAAUCCUAUUGAUGAGGUUAGUGCCUUCAUGAUCCUAAUCAUCUUUCUAGACCCCACCUCUGAACAGUGUGACAUUGGAGAUCAACCUUCAAUACAUGAAUCUUUGAGAGAUACUUCAUAUUCAAAUCAUAGCAGAAUUUUAGUUUAAAAUCUAUCCUAAAAUGGUGGGUUAUAUUUUAUUUUAUAGGACUUCAUUUACAAAAGGUAUUAACAGGUAUAAUUAGUUCAGAACUCAUAAUUUGUUUUAUUUCUUGGCCUAGAAAAUUAGUGAUAAAAUUUAUUCAAGAUACUAUUCCAUAAGUAUAAAAAUAAGAUUCAAAUGUAUAAUUAUUUACUUUGCAGUAUUUGAUGAAUAAGCACAUUAUAAGAACUUGCAAUUUGUAUAGAUUAAAGUGGUUUGAUUUAUACAGAUUUUUGAGAGAAGAAAGUAUACCACUUUGCUGUGCUUUUUCCUCCUGAAACAUCAUCUACUCACCUAUUACAACAGCUUCAUCCUGAUUGUCUAAAAAUCUUUUAGCCUUUUAUGACAAAGAUAAAUGAUAGAUAUUGGGAGACAUUUCUCUUGAGUCUUACGGGUUUCCUGUGUUUCUGCAUAUCUGUUUAGCAGAAGCAUUGACAGCUUUUGUUAGUGGCUGUUUUUUUUUUCAAGAAAAUCUGACAGAGCAUCUCUGUCAGGACAGAGGAUGGAUUUCUUUGCUGUCCAGUAUAAUUAAGAUAAUUCCUCUGGGAAAAAGGUUGAGCAUAUUUGCUUACAGUUCCAUUAAAUAAUUGGAGUUUCAUAAGCUCAGGUUUCUUGUCCUGUAAUGAAAUCCAUUGUGUGUACAGCUAUCAUUUUAUUCUCAUUCCAUUGACCCUUAGGAAUUAGAGCUUGGGGAGCCAGUGCAUGAUAUUUUUGGUUACUCUUAUUGUUGUGAAUAUAGUAAACUAUUCUUUAGUUUGGACCUAGGAGCAUCAUGUCACCUGCCACAAUUAUUUGGUGUUAGCUUAGCAAACAUCACCAAUACAUCCUGUUGAUAUUUUAAAAAAGCUGUUUGUUGCUUAUUGUGGUAAGGGAGAGGGAGAGUAACACCUCCUUGACAGACCUUCAGUAAUGCUGUAAAGGAGCAAAGUCAAAAUUUAACUGGGAGAAAACAAGGAUUUUUAUUUCUCUACAUACAAUAAAAAGUCAAAACUAUAUUCCAGAGUGUGCUGGGAAUUACUCACUACUUGAAGUUAAGGAUUUUCCUGUAUGUAGCACUUUAGUUAGACAAAGUGUAACAACUUUUUACAGUGAACAUUAGGCAAUUGGAAGCCUAUCCUUAGAUGUCGUAAACAAUAAUGAUUGACUGACUUACUUUAGAAGAUAUACUUGAAUAUGGUUUGCAGUAAUCCUGUAGCAGUACCUGAAAUGAAGGGGACAAAAUGUAGAGACUACAUAGGUAAUUAUAAUCUUUUUUUUUGGUACCGGGGAUCGAACUCGGGUCCUUGAGCUUGCGUAGCAGGCGGCGAAACCUCUGAGCUAAAUCCCCGGCCUGGUAAUUAUAAUCUUAAUAGUAAAAGGCGUGGGUCAUAUUUUCUAUUCACAUUUCCAUUGUUCGAUGAAAAGGAGAAUGUUUUUACUUUUUUUUUUUUUUUUUUUUUGGGUACUGGGGAUCGAACUUGGGUCCUUGUGCUUGCGCAGCAGGCGAAACCACUGAGCUAAAUCCCUGGCCCUUACUGUGUAUUCUUAAUGUUCAAGUUACCUGUCCUCAGAAAGAAAAACUUGACCUUUUGUGAUGGGCCAUUUUGAUGAUUCCUAGGAAAGCUGGUUUUGUUGUUGUUUUUUUGUUUUUAAAAUGGGGAGAUAGGGGAAGCUGAUCAGGUUUGAAUGAAGCUCAAGUUUCUUUGCAGUUUUUCUUCCUUGUUUUAGAUUUUCAGUUGGUGUACUGAUUUUAUCUAUAAAAUAAAGUUACUUCAACUUGUAAAAAGUGUUUCGUAGUUUCAGAAAAUUGAGUCCUGGAAAAGAUUAAAAAGUAGUGUAUGGGUGUGUAUGCUUUCUUACAGUCUGUAGUCUUCACAUUCUACGUUGUGUGAGAGAAGAAAAAUCAUACUGAACACAUUUUUUUUUUUUUUGAGCAUUGUCUUACUUUUCUCUUGUUGCUGAGACAAAACACUUGGCACUAAAGUUAAAGAGGGAAAGGUUUAUUUAGCUCACAGUUUGUAGAGGUUUUAGUUCAUAAUCAGCUGGCUCCAAGGCAAGGUGACCUGACAGACAGGCAUCACAGAGGAGAAAUAGUUCAUGGAGGGCAGAAGGUAGCAAAGUAAGCAAGGAAUGACCACAGCUCUUUCUAUCCCUUAUAUCUUAUCAGGAGUACUUAGGGCAGGUAGCACUCAAACCCUUAAUCCUAGUGCCCUUGAUCCAGCAUUGCACCAUGAAUCAGUUCAAACAUAGUGCUCUACAUCCAGCCACCCCUGAAAAAGCCCCAUUUGUGACUGCAUGAGGCUUUGUGGGGACAUCUAGACACAAGCCAUAACAAGCAUCUAUACUGAAUUAAUGUAUUACUGUGCAAGUUGUCUGGUUGAAAAUUUUUUUUAAAAGUUGAUUUUAUUUCUUGGAGCAGUUUUAAGUUUACAGAACAAUUGGAAUAGAAGACACACAGUUUCCAUAUGCAUACUUCCAUGUAUCCUACAACACUGUUAUAAUUGCUUCUUACCUCUGGAGUUUGUUAGUUAUUUCCUUGUGGGAUUUUCUGUAUAGAUGAUCAUAUCAUCUGUAAGAUGUUUUGAUAAAGCUAUGGACAGUUUUUUUCUUCUCAAUGUAUACCUUUUUUUUUUUUUUGGUACCAGGGAUUGAACUCAGUGUAUACCUUUUAUUAUCUUUUUCUUCGUCUUAUUGCAUUGACUGGGAUGUUUAGUAUGACGUUGAAUAGAAAUGGGAAUAAGAAUAAGGGAAUCCUUGUUUUAUUCCUGAUCUUAAGUAUGAUGUUUGCUAUAGUUGUUUUGUAGAUAUUCUCUAUCAAGUUAAAGAAGUUUUCCUGUAUUCCUAGUUUCCUACUUUUUUUUUUGUACUGGGGAAUUGAACUCGGGUCCUUGUAUUUACGCAGCAGUUGUCAAAACCACUGAGCUAAAUCCCUGGCUCUAGAAAGGAAGGCGUAGAAGCUUUUUUGUUUUUGGUACUAGGGAUCAAACCCGGGACCUUGUGCUUGUGAGGCAGGUGGUGGAACCACUGAGCUAAAUCCCUGGCCCUAGUUUCCUACUUUUUAAUCAUGAAUGGUCAUUGAAUUUUAUCAGAUAAAUUUUUUAUAAAUCUAUUGAUGUGACCAUACAAUUUUUCCUGUUUCCUGGAUUACAUUAAUUGAUUUCCACAUGUUGAACCUGUUUAUAUACUUGGAAUAAAUCUAACUUGUUUGUGGUAUAUAAUUUGAUUUGCUAAUAUUUUUGAGGACCUUUGCGUCUAUGUUCAUGAGACAAAAUGGUGUGUUGGACUCUUUAUUCUUUUUUCUUUGCUUACUUUGAAUGUAAUUUUUUCUACUUUUCUAAGGUAGAAGCUUAGAUUAUUUCUUCUUUCUUUAAAUAUUUACUUAUUUUGCAUUACUGUGGAUUGAACUAAGGAAGCACUAAACUAUGUCCCCCACACUUUUUAAAUUUUGAGACAGGAUCUUUCUACCUUGUCAGGGUUGGCCUUGUGUGCUGUGUUUGAGAUCCUUUGACCUAAUCUUCCUGAGUAGCUGGAUUAUAGUUUUUGUUUUUCAGUGCAAGCAUUCAGUGCUAUACAUUUUUCACUAAGUAUUGUCUUGCUGUAUCCCACAAAUUUUGGUUUUAUUUUCAUUUUAAUUCAGUUGAAAAUAUUUAAUCUCCAAAUAUUUUUGGAUUUUUUUCCAGCUAUCUUUCUGCCCUUUGUUUACAGAUUUCUAGUUUAAUUCCAUUGUAGUCUAAAAGCUUACUUUGUAUGAUGUCUGCUUUCUUUUUGGUGGUGCUGGGGAUUGAACCUGAAUGUCUUACUUUCUUGUUGCUGAGACACAAUACCUGACACCUGCAAAUUAGAGGAGAGAUUUAUUUCAGUUCACAGUUUGUAGGGGUUACAGUCCAUAGUUAGCUGGCUCCAAGGCAAGAUGGCAUGGCAGAGGGACAUGGCAGAGAAUAGCUCAGGGCAUGGCAGAUGGGAAGCUGAGUGAGAUCAAGAGAGGAGGGAGGGAGAUAAAACCUUCCAAGCCAUAUCCCCAGUGACUCACCUCCUCCAACCAGGCUUUACCUCUCAACAUCAUAUUUAGCUAUAAACCCAUGAGUGGACUAAUUCACUGAUGAGUAUCACACCCCCAUGAUCCAGUCACCAUUGAAAGACCCACCUAUGAGCAUAUGAGGCUUUGGGGAACAACUAGAUAUAAAACAUAAUACCAGGGCUUAUGAGGAUGCUAGGCACACACUAUACCACUGAGAUACAACCUCUGCCCUGAAGCCUAAUCUUUUUAAAUUUGUUAAGGUGUAUUUUAUGACUCAGAAUAUGGUCUUUCUUGGUGAAAGCUCCUUAUGAACUUGAAAAGAAUAUUUACUCUGCUGUGUUGGAGAUUAAAACAUUCUAUAAAGUUAGUUAGAUCCAGUUGAUUAAUGGUGUUAACAGGUCUAUAAUAUCAUUAAUUUUUUGCUUUUAUAAAUUUUUACUUCAUGAACUUGACACUAUUGUUAGGUGCAUAGAUGUAAGGAUAGUUACAUUGUUUUGAACAAUUAACCCUCUGUUAUUAUAUGAUGCUGUUUUUUAUUGCUGAUAAAUUUUCUUGCUUUGAAGUCUGGUCUGUCUGAAAUUAAUAUACCUAUUCCAGCUUUCUUGUGAUUAGUUUUACCAUGGCAUAUCUUUAUCCACACCUUUCUUUUUCAUUUGUAUAAAUCUUUAUGUAGGAC
ensembl:lncRNA